UAUCCGUAGGUGAACCUGCGGAAGGAUCAUUAUUGUAUAACCGAGGUGCGAGGGCUGUCGCUGACCCGAAAGGUCGUGCACGCUCGAGUGCCCUCACACACAUCCAUCUCACCCCGAUGUGCACCACCGCGUGGGUCCCCCUUUGGCUUGUUCGGAGGGGGGCUUACGUGUUCACACAAACUUUGUAUGCAGUGUAGAAUGUAUUUUUUGUUUUUGCGAUCACGCAAUCAAUACAACUUUCAACAACGGAUCUCUUGGCUCUC
rnacentral:misc_RNA from 1 species